rnacentral:hammerhead_ribozyme from 1 species
AUUCAACUGACGAGUCCCAAAUAGAACGAAACGUGCAUCCUGAAU